rnacentral:sRNA from 1 species
GCGCGCCGGCCGCCACCAGCCGCGCCGGAGCCCCUGCGCCCUGCGGCCCGCUCCCCGGGGACCGGGCCGGCGCCAUGGACCGAGGCCAGGUGCUGGAGCAGCUGCUCCCAGAGCUCACCGGGCUGCUCAGCCUCCUGGACCACGAGUACCUCAGCGAUACCACCCUGGAAAAGAAGAUGGCCGUGGCCUCCAUCCUGCAGAGCCUGCAGCCCCUUCCAGCAAAGGAGGUCUCCUACCUGUAUGUGAACACAGCAGACCUCCACUCGGGGCCCAGCUUCGUGGAAUCCCUCUUUGAAGAAUUUGACUGUGACCUGAGUGACCUUCGGGACAUGCCAGAGGAUGAUGGGGAGCCCAGCAAAGGAGCCAGCCCUGAGCUAGCCAAGAGCCCACGCCUGAGAAACGCGGCCGACCUGCCUCCACCGCUCCCCAACAAGCCUCCCCCUGAGGACUACUAUGAAGAGGCCCUUCCUCUGGGACCCGGCAAGUCGCCUGAGUACAUCAGCUCCCACACCGAUGGACCUUGGGCUGAUUGCACCUUUUGGCUAUGGUGCUUGGAUCAGAUGGCUGCAGCCCCUCACACUCGAUUGUGGAUGGCUACUAUGAGGACGCAGACAGCAGCUACCCUGCAACCAGGGUGAACGGCGAGCUUAAGAGCUCCUAUAAUGACUCUGACGCAAUGAGCAGCUCCUAUGAGUCCUACGAUGAAGAGGAGGAGGAAGGGAAGAGCCCGCAGCCCCGACACCAGUGGCCCUCAGAGGAGGCCUCCAUGCACCUGGUGAGGGAAUGCAGGAUAUGUGCCUUCCUGCUGCGGAAAAAGCGUUUCGGGCAGUGGGCCAAGCAGCUGACGGUCAUCAGGGAGGACCAGCUCCUG